GUUUUCAAAGGAGGUAAAAAAGGAUAUGUCUUCUGAUACUGCAAAAGAAAAUGCAUCUGUAGUUGACUCCUCAGUAACUGAAUGGAAACAUGACAUCGGUAAUUUNNNNNNNNGAGCCCAAUCUACGAAGGUGAUGAGGAUAGUUAUCCUAAUAGGGCUGAAAAAGCAGGUUAUGAUCAAGUGGGAAAUUCAUCGUUAAACAAAAG
rnacentral:misc_RNA from 1 species